UGCGGAUUAUUGUAAACGGUUAACAAAUUUGACUCAUGACCAAAAAAUAUAGGUUCAAAUCCUAUAUCCGCCU
rnacentral:tRNA from 1 species